AGCAACUGGUGGAAAUGCAAGAAUUUGACUGAUUUGCUGAUAGACGGAAAUAGAAUUGGUGGUUGCAUACCACCAGAGAUCGGAAACCUGAAAGGGCUUCAACGACUUGAUCUUUCAUCAAAUCAUUUGGUUGGGAUGAUUCCUGGGGAAUUUGGAAAAUUGACCUCUCUAGAGUAUCUUUUUUUGCAAAAUAACCACAUUUCUGGCAAUAUACCUGGGGAACUUGGGGCACUGACAAAGUUAGAUUCCCUUGACCUGUCAAACAAUAGAUUGAAUGGGUCGAUACCAACGUUUAUAGAAGAUU
rnacentral:lncRNA from 1 species